UACGUAGGGAGCAAGCGUUGUUCGGAUUUACUGGGCGUAAAGGGCACGUAGGCGGCAAAUUAAGUCAGCUGUGAAAUCUCCGAGCUUAACUCGGAACGGUCAGCUGAUACUGAUCUGCUAGAGUGCGGAAGGGGCAAUCGGAAUUCUUGGUGUAGCGGUGAAAUGCGUAGAUAUCAAGAGGAACACCUGAGGUGAAGACGGGUUGCUGGGCCGACACUGACGCUGAGUGCGCGAAAGCCAGGGGAGCAAACGGG
rnacentral:rRNA from 1 species